rnacentral:rRNA from 1 species
CCUACGGGUGGCAGCAGUAAGGAAUAUUGCUCAAUGGGGGAAACCCUGAACCAGCCACGCCGCGUGAAGGAUGACUGCUUUACGGGUUUUAAAUCCUUUUUUUAAAGGAAUUAAUUGCGGUACCUCUGCAUUAAUCUCCGUCUAUCUCCGUUCCAGCAGCCGUGGUAAUACGGAGGGUGCCAGCGUUAUUCGGAGUCACUGGGCGUAAAGAGUGCGUAGUCGGGCUUGUAAGUCAGUUGUGAAAUCCUUCAGCUUAACCACAGAACUGCAUUUGAAACUGUGAGUCUAGAGUGUAGGAGAGGUAGGUGGAAUUCUUGGUGUAGGGGUGAAAUGCGUAGAUAUCAAGAAGAAUACUGAUUGCGAAGGCGGCUUACUAGA